rnacentral:rRNA from 1 species
UGAGUACGAGAUGCUACGGCAUCGAAGCAGUCUAUGUCAUACUUCCAAGAAAAGCUUGCAAUGUCAUAAACAAAUAAUGCCUGUACCAUAACCGACACAGGUGGGUAGGUAGAGUAUACUAAGGGGCGCGAGAUAACUCUCUCUAAGGAACUCGGCAAAAUGACUCCGUAACUUCGGGAGAAGGAGUGCCUUAUUUUUAUAAGGUUGCAAUAACAAGAUCCAAGCAACUGUUUACCAAAAACACAGGUCUCCGCUAAGUCGUAAGACGAUGUAUGGGGGCUGACGCCUGCCCAGUGCCAGAAGGUUAAAGAAGUUGGUUAGCAUUAGCGAAGCUGAUAACUGAAGCCCUGGUGAACGGCGGCCGUAACGAUAACGGUCCUAAGGUAGCGAAAUUCCUUGUCGGGUAAGUUCCGACCCGCACGAAAGGCGUAAUGAUUUGGAUACUGUCUCGGAGAGGGGCUCGGUGAAAUAGACUUGUCUGUGAAGAUGCGGACUACCUGCACCUGGACAGAAAGACCCUAUGAAGCUUUACUGUAACUUGAGAUUGAAAUUGGACUUUAUCUGCGCAGUAUAGGUGGGAGACGUUGAAAAUAUUCUUGCGGGAAUAUUGGAGUCAUCAGUGAGAUACCACUCUUAUAAUGUUAGAUUUCUAACUUUGUAUCAUUAUCUGGUCAAAGAACAGUUUCAGGCGGGCAGUUUGACUGGGGCGGUCGCCUCCCAAACGGUAACGGAGGCGCACAAAGGUUUCCUCUGAACGUGUAGAAAUCGUAUCUAGAGUGUAAAGGCAUAAGGAAGCUUGACUGUGAGACCUACAAGUCGAGCAGGGACGAAAGUCGGUCUUAGUGAUCUGACGGUGCUGAGUGGAAAGGCCGUCACUCAACGGAUAAAAGUUACUCUAGGAUAACAGGCUUAUCUCCCCCAAGAGUUCACAUCGACGGGGAGGUUUGGCACCUCGAUGUCGGCUCAUCGCAUCCUGGGGCGGUAGUACGUCCCAAGGGUUGGGCUGUUCGCCCAUGAAAGCGGUACGCGAGCUGGGUUCAGAACGUCGUGAGACAGUUCGGUCCAUAUCCGGUGUAGGCGUUAGAAUAUUGAGAGGAGCCUUCUUUAGUACGAGAGGACCGAGAAGGACAUACCUCUGGUGUACCAGUUAUCGUGCCAACGGUAAACGCUGGGUAGCCAUGUAUGGAGAGGAUAACCGCUGAAAGCAUCUAAGUGGGAAGCCCACCUC